ACAGGCAGUUAAGUCCCCCAGUCUUCCAACUGUGCCUGUUUCUGCUGCCGACGAGGGAGGGGCCUCUCGGAGGCCUUUUGUGGCCCCUUCCAUCUCCUGCGCCACCAAAUGUGGGCUCUGCAGGGCAGGCGAGUGCCGACGAGGCAACCUCUGGUCUCGGCUUCCCACAAUCCUCCUCCUCCCCGUUAAGAGAACUUGCGUUUCUUCAUGGCUUCCGCCUUGACCGCCAGGCUCUUGGCACAGAUGGUCAGGACCACGAUGAGAACACCCACCACAAACGCCACCACCGGCCAGAGGAAGCAGUGCAGGAGAGCAAUCUCAUCGUGUGUGCGCUGUAGGAGAACGUCCUCUGGUCUGCAAGAGAGAGAGGACAGGAAAGGAAGAUCAGUGAGUCUCUCAGCCCAGCAAACUCUACACAACCUGCAGACGACAAGUGCUCUCCAGCCCAGGGGAAUAAUCACCCUUGAAAGUGAUGACUCUGAUUGCAGACACCGUACCAGUCUGCUCCACACCCAUUUCCAAAAGCUGUGAGCUCUCGAAUCAAUCAUUACUGAGGAUGGCACUGAAUGCCAUUAUCACAAUAAGGAACAACUGAGCCUGUGAAAGAGCUCCUGCGAGGGAGUCUGGAACCACCACACCUGGAGCACGGAGCACGGGCUGGAGAAAACCGGGAGGAAACGGGCAGGAGAGAAGGAAGCGACCGGAAACUGUUGGAUCCAAAAGCGUGUUUUCCUCAGAAACUUUCUAGAAUUCCAUCUCCUGGAUCUUGAGCAACACUUAUGUUUCAGAGCUUUAAGUGACAAAAUAAAAUGACUCAUUGGAGCUGAA
rnacentral:lncRNA from 1 species